rnacentral:lncRNA from 10 species
ACUGGGUUUGACUUUGCAUCUCACUCUCCUGAGGAAAACGAGGAGCAGUGAAUCCUGUCCCUCCUUGGGUCUCACAACAUUUCCCUUGUGCCAAAUACUGCCCCUACCCUUCAAUCUAAACACUCUUAAAUCAGUAAAUAUGUGUGUAUACUGAUUGAAUUUCUCCUCAGAAAAGGGGUUUUUCUUUUCUAUCACAUUGUCAGGCUGCAAAUUUUCUCAACUUUUAUGCUCUGCUUCCCUUAUAAAACCGAAUGCCUUUAACAGCACCCAAGUCACCUCUUGAAUGCUUUGCUGCUUAGGAAUUUCUUCCACCAGAUGCCCUAAAUCAUCUCUCUCAAGUUCAAAGUUCCACAAAUCUCUAGGGCAAGGGAAAAAUGCUGCCAGUUUCUUUGCUAAAACAUAACAAGAGUCACCUUUGCUCCAGUUCCCAACAAAAUUUUCAUUUCCAUCUGAGACCUCCUCAGCCUGGAUUUCAUUGUCCAUAUCGUUAUCAGCAUUUUGGUCAAGGCCAUUCAGCAAGUCUCUAGGGAGUUCCGAACUUUCCCACAUUUUCCUGUCUUCUUCUGAGCCCUCCAAACUGUUUCAACCUCUGCCUGUUACCCAAUUCCAAAGUUGGCUUCACAGUUUUGACUAUU